rnacentral:tRNA from 1 species
GCGGCUGUGGCGGAAUCGGUAGACGCGCAGGCUUCAGGUGCCUGUGUCCUCAGGGACGUGGAGGUUCAAGUCCUCUCAGCCGCA